rnacentral:rRNA from 1 species
GACGUAGGGCGCGAGCGUUGUCCGGAUUUAUUGGGCGUAAAGAGCUCGUAGGCGGCUUGUCGCGUCGACCGUGAAAACUUGGGGCUCAACCCCAAGCCUGCGGUCGAUACGGGCAGGCUAGAGUUCGGUAGGGGAGACUGGAAUUCCUGGUGUAGCGGUGAAAUGCGCAGAUAUCAGGAGGAACACCGGUGGCGAAGGCGGGUCGCUGGGCCGAUACUGACGCUGAGGAGCGAAAGCAUGGGGAGCGAACAGG